rnacentral:lncRNA from 1 species
AAUCUGAAAUACAAAGUAUUUAGAGGACAAGAACAAUCUGACUUACUGUUUGUUAUUUACGUUCCCUUUUCCAGGGAGUGAAAAUGCUGGAAAUAAAGGAGAGGAGCUACUUUGCAGAAUUUCCAAAAUUUCAAAUUUGUAGAAAUUUGCCCCAGAAAGAGGCCGCUGGUGAAGCUGGGAACUCAUCCGUCCCCCUGGUGUCACAGGGAGAGGCCAAAGCUGGAACCAGUUCCCGAAGCAUUCGUGAUCUGGUGGCUCACCAGGACAUUGGUUCGAGACACGAGACUCCAAUCCAUGAGUUUUGGGAGAUGCUCCUGUGGCCACGUGGACCAUCUCGAGUAGUGUCUGUGUCUGUCUGUCGGCCAGGAGCUGGUCCAUCUGUCCGGUCCUGUCGGCGGUCCCAUGUGCUGGAGAGGAUGCAGUAGAUCUGUGUUCCUGGGCUCGGUGGGUUUCCCCCAUGGACCUUUAUCAUCUCCUGGCUGCAUGGACUUUACCGGCUCGGGGGUGAAGUGUGAAGAGCAGAAACUCGCUGUGCUCUCAGGAGAUGCUGCAUCUGCUCCUCUCCUGCUCCAUCCUCUGCGACUUUCAAGCAAAUCACUCCGGCCCCAGCCGUCCUCCUCCAGGGGAAUCACAGCUUCCUUGGUCACCAGGUGCUGGUAGAGGAACUUCAAGUUUUGCUGGUGGAUUCACACGUCGAGGUGGAGCUGGGCUGUGCCACAUGAGGGGCAGCAGCUUGUGGGAAAGGUACGAGCUGGAGAAAUGAGUGGUGCUUUGAAAAAGCUGCUGUGGGCUCUGAGAACAUGAGGGGAGCUCCUGAGGUGGAACCACAGGAGACGCCAUGCAGAUGGGCACCUGGGAGUGAUGCUGCUGGGGAUGCAGCUCCUGGGAGGGACUCGGGAUUUGGGGGCCACCUUCUCUGUGCCCCCAUCUCUGGCACCCCAGCCCUUGCUUUUAUUUAAAACCAUAUCUAUGUGCCGUGCCCUGUUAAGUAGUGAAUCUGGGAAAUAAUCAGCCAGAGGCUUGAGCUUGUCCCCGCGUUGGUCUCUCAGAUCUUCAGCGGCACAGAACUCCCCGGCUUGCUUCAUAUUCUCAUUAUACACAACUUGCCUGAAUUUUAUUGCUUAGGUAGCCAUAAACUACAGAGCUUCAGAUACCUCCUCACUAUUUCCAGCCAGCAGUGAGCCCUGCCUUAGUCACUUUGCGAUGCUCCAAGCCAUCACCCGGGACAAGGCGUGGGCCACCUGUGAGUCCCAGCGUGGUCAGACACCUCCAGCUGGUUCUUGUUACAAGCUGGAUGGUGGCCGAGGUGUGUCCUCCAGGCAUUUAAACAUCAUCUCGGGUCAUGGAGAAAGCAGAUCUCAGGCAGUUAAAGCACCUCAAGGCAGUUCAGGAGGUGAGGAAUAUGGGAAAUUCUUUUUCCUGGUGAGCUGGGUAGGCUGGAAUGGAUAAACUUUUGGGAAGCAAGGACUGUGGCAACACCCGCAGGUGGUGUUGGAGGGCUACGCAAGUUUUGGGCUCCCUGAUACAAGUUUUCAUCCUCCAGUUGGACCGCAAGGAGAGAAUUUCCAUCUUGGAAAUGACUGUAGGGUAGGAACAUUAGAAGAAUAGUUCUUCAUCUUCACGUCUUGCCCUGCUGAAGCUUUUUCCUCGGCAGACCCUGCUGUCCCCUCACACGGGAUGGGUCCUGCUGCAAGGGACGCGGUGGUGCUUCCCUGCUGUAAGGGAAUGUGGCCAGAAAAACACUGGGAGACAGCGGCUGGCAGGGUGUAGCCAGACCUGCCAGUGGCUGCUUCAGUGACUGUGUUUGGAGAAGAGCUUUGUAGAAUACACCGAAGGUAACCCGCUGCCAGCUGUCAUGAUGCCAGGGUUGUAAAAACAUAUAUAUAUAUAUGUGUGUGUGUGUAUACAACACAACACUUGCAGGGGGAAUAGAUAUUAGCAUGUGAAGAAAUGAAUACACUUUGGCAAAGAAGGAAUACUUUUUAUAAGCUGAACUAGAAAUAAAGUAAUAUUCAAUAUAUUAACA